CACUUAAAGUUUGACCCCCCGAAACUAGGCGAGCUACUCUAAAACAGCUACAGAGCCAAUCCAUCCCUGUUACAAAAGAGUGGAGAGAUUUUAAAGUAGAGGUGAUACACCUACCGAGCCAAGAGAUAGCUGGUUAUUCAAAAGACGGAUUUAAGUCCAACUUUAAGCUUUCCCGGUAUUACCAAACAACCCUAAAACUUAAAAGCCAUUCAAAUAAGGUACAGCCUAUUUGAACAAGGGGACAACCUACAAUAAAGGGUAACGAUUAAACACGUGGCCAAGUGGGCCUAAAAGCAGCCAACUUUCAAAAAGCGUCCAAGCCUCACCACCUAGAACCCUAAUACCCCCAUUUACUCACAACCCUCAACCACUACUGAAUGACCCCAUAAACUAUGGAGAACAUCAUGCUAGAACUAGUAACAAGAAGAUGAACUUCUCUAAAAUGCAAGCGUAAGCCAAAAUGAACACAUCCCCGGCACUCACCGCCCACUACAGUAUUAACGCAUCAAGAAAAUUAUACUACAACAAACGCCAACCUUACACCAGCUCAUUUCAAGAAAGAUUAAAAGAGGGGGAAGGAACUC
rnacentral:rRNA from 1 species